GAGGCUGAGGUGGGAGGAUUUCUUGAGCCCAGGAGGUCAAAGCUGUGGUGAGCCGUGAACGUGCCACAGCACUCCAGUCUGGGCGAUAGAGUGAGACCCUGUCUCAAAAACAAAAACA